rnacentral:rRNA from 1 species
UACGAAGGGGGCUAGCGUUGUUCGGAAUUACUGGGCGUAAAGCGCGUGUAGGCGGGUCUUUAAGUCAGGGGUGAAUGCCAAGGCUCAACCUUGGAACUGCCUUUGAUACUGGAGACCUUGAGUCCGGGAGAGGUGAGUGGAAUUGCGAGUGUAGAGGUGAAAUUCGUAGAUAUUCGCAAGAACACCAGUGGCGAAGGCGGCUCACUGGCCCGGAACUGACGCUGAGACGCGAAAGCGUGGGGAGCAAACAGG